AAUAGAUACCCUGGUAGUCCACGCCGUAAACAAUGAGUGCUAAGUGUUAGAGGGUUUCCGCCCUUUAGUGCUGCAGCUAACGCAUUAAGCACUCCGCCUGGGGAGUACGGUCGCAAGACUGAAACUCAAAGGAAUUGACGGGGGCCCGCACAAGCGGUGGAGCAUGUGGUUUAAUUCGAAGCAACGCGAAGAACCUUACCAGGUCUUGACAUCCUCUGACAACUCUAGAGAUAGAGCAUUCCCCUUCGGGGGACAGAGUGACAGGUGGUGCAUGGUUGUCGUCAGCUCGUGUCGUGAGAUGUUGGGUUAAGUCCCGCAACGAGCGCAACCCUUGAUCUUAGUUGCCAGCAUUCAGUUGGGCACUCUAAGGUGACUGCCGGUGACAAACCGGAGGAAGGUGGGGAUGACGUCAAAUCGUCAUGCCCCUUAUGACCUGGGCUACACACGUGCUACAAUGGAUGGUACAAAGGGCUGCAAGACCGCGAGGUCAAGCCAAUCCCAUAAAACCAUUCUCAGUUCGGAUUGU
rnacentral:rRNA from 1 species